GCUACAUUAAUCUAGUGGUAUGAUAAUUGCCUCCCACGCAAUAAGCUCGGGUUCGAUUCCCGAAUGUAGCA
rnacentral:tRNA from 2 species